rnacentral:misc_RNA from 1 species
GAUGAAGAACGUAGCAAAAUGCGAUAAGUAAUGUGAAUUGCAGAAUUCAGUGAAUCAUCGAAUCUUUGAACGCACAUUGCUCCCGCUGGUAUUCCGGCGGGCAUGCCUGUUCGAGCGUCAUUUCAACCCUCAAGCCCCCGGGUUUGGUGUUGGGGAUCGGCUCUGCCCUUCUGGGCGGUGCCGCCCCCGAAAUACAUUGGCGGUCUCGCUGCAGCCUCCAUUGCGUAGUAGCUAACACCUCGCAACUGGAACGCGGCGCGGCCAUGCCGUAAAACCCCAACUUCUGAAUGUUGACCUCGGAUCAGGUAGGAAUACCCGCUGAACUUAAGCAUAUCAAUAAGCGGAGGA